UACAGAGGUCCCAAGCGUUGUUCGGAUUCAUUGGGCGUAAAGGGUGCGUAGGCGGCGCGGUAAGUCGGGUGUGAAAUCUCGGGGCUUAACUCCGAAACUGCAUUCGAUACUGCCGUGCUUGAGGACUGGAGAGGAGACUGGAAUUUACGGUGUAGCGGUGAAAUGCGUAGAUAUCGUAAGGAAGACCAGUGGCGAAGGCGGGUCUCUGGACAGUUCUGACGCUGAGGCACGAAGGCCAGGGAGCAAACGGG
rnacentral:rRNA from 1 species